GGCGCGCGGGUCCCACCGCGGAACUGCGGACCGUGUGGCCCUGGGGCCUGCACCCUCUCCGGCUCCGGGGACGGCGGCAGAGACCGCCCGCCCAGGCCUGGGGGCCCCAGUCCGUAGCGGCCGCCGUGUGUGCGCUCGGUGUCUGCGGGGCCAGCAGGUCUUCCUCAAGCCGGACGAGCCGCCGCCGCCGCAGCCAUGCGCCGACAGCCUGCAGCCAGCCUGGACCCCCUUGCAAAGGAGCCAGGACCCCCAGGGAGUAGAGACGACCGACUGGAGGACGCUUUGCUGAGUCUGGGCUCUGUCAUCGACAUUUCAGGCCUGCAACGUGCUGUCAAGGAGGCCCUGUCAGCUGUGCUCCCCCGAGUGGAAACUGUCUACACCUACCUGCUGGAUGGGGAGUCCCGGCUGGUGUGUGAGGACCCCCCACAUGAGCUGCCCCAGGAGGGGAAAGUCCGGCAGUUCCUACAAGCACAAUUAAGUGGAGGCAGCAUGAGGGAUGAAGAACCCAGGACAAUUAAUCAUCAAGGAGUGAUAUUUGGUGCAAACUCAGGGAGGCUAUCAUCUGCCGGAAGCGGCUGGGCUGCAAUGGGCUGGGCUUCUCAGACCUGCCAGGGAAGCCCUUGGCCAGGCUGGUGGCUCCACUGGCUCCUGAUACCCAAG
rnacentral:sRNA from 1 species